rnacentral:rRNA from 1 species
AUGGCAGGCGUGGCGCCCUCCGCCUCCGCGCGCCAGAUAUCCCACACGCACUUCAUCGAGCAGCUCCGCCGCGCCGCCCGCGCCCGCGACGGCGAGGCGCUCCACGCCUGGGCGCUCAAGUCCGGCGCCGCGUCCCACGCGCCCGUCUCCAACUCCCUCAUCACCUUCUACGCCUCCCUCCCGCGGCCGCUCCUCGCCGCGGCCCUGGCCGUCUUCGCGGGCAUCCCCACCGCCGCCCGCGACGUCGCCUCCUGGAACUCCCUGCUCAACCCGCUCUCGCACCACCACCCGCGCGCCGCGCUCUCCAACUUCCGCUCCAUGAUGUUCUCGUCCUCGCCCGCCAUCCUCCCGUCCCCGCACUCCUUUGCCGCCGUCUUCACGGCCGCCGGCCGCGCGCGCUCCGCGUCCGCCGGAGCCGCCGCCCACGCUCUCGCUUGCAAGGUCCCCUCGGCUACCUCCAACGUGUUCGUGUCCACCGCUCUGCUCAGCAUGUACUGCAAGCUGGACCUCGUCCCCGAUGCCCGGAGAGUGUUCGACGAAAUGCCGCUGCGGAACGAGUUCUCCUGGGCCGCUAUGGUGGCGGGCUAUGCUUCCACAAAGUGCUCCGAGGAGGCCUUUGAGAUCUUCCAGUUGAUGCUUGCAGAGUGCCCGUCACAGAAAAAUGAGUUUGUGGCUACGGCAGUUCUUAGUGCGGUCAGUGUGCCGUCGGGCUUGCCGAUGGGGGUGCAGCUGCAUGGGUUGGCUGUGAAGGAUGGGUUGGUGGUUUUUGUGUCGGUUGAAAACUCGCUUGUCACGAUGUAUGCAAAGGCUGGGUGUAUGGAUGCAGCAUUACAUGUGUUUGCGUCGUCUAAGGAGAGGAACUCCAUCACUUGGUCCGCGAUGAUCACUGGCUACGCGCAGAAUGGGAAUGCAGAAAGCGCAUUUAGAAUGUUCUUGCAGAUGCUUGCUGCAGGGUUUUCACCAACUGAGUUCACUUUGGUCGGGGUGCUCAAUGCUUGUAGUGAUGUGGGAGCAUUGAUGGAAGGAAAGCAGACACAUGGUUUGAUGGUGAAGCUUGGGUUUGAGGUGCAGGUGUAUGUGAAGAGCGCACUGGUGGACAUGUAUGCCAAAUGCGGAUGUAUUACUGAUGCAAAGGAAGGUUUUGAUCAAUUUCAUGAGCUUGACAUUGUCCUUUGGACGGCUAUGGUUGCCGGGCAUGUGCAGAAUGGGGAGUAUGAGGAAGCCUUGAGGUUGUAUGCCAGGAUGGACAAGGAGGGCAUCAUUCCGACUAACUUGACUAUAACUAGUGUUCUGAAAGCAUGUGCUGGCCUUGCAGCAUUGGAGCCAGGGAAGCAAUUGCACACUCAGAUCCUGAAGUUCGGGUUUGGUUUGGGGUCUUCUGUCGGAAGUGCCUUGUCUACAAUGUAUUCAAAGUGUGGAAACCUUGACGAUGGCACGGUUGUAUUCAGAAGGAUGCCUCAUAAGGAUGUUAUUGCAUGGAACUCGAUCAUUUCUGGAUUCUCUCAAAAUGGACGUGGAAAUGAAGCACUUGACCUGUUUGAGGAGAUGAAGCUAGAGGGCACUGCUCCAGAUCAUAUAACAUUCAUUAAUGUGUUAUGUGCUUGUAGUCACAUGGGCCUAGUUGACAGAGGAUGGAUUUACUUUAGGUCAAUGACCAAAGACUAUGGUUUAACUCCUAGGCUGGAUCAUUAUGCUUGCAUGGUUGAUAUUCUUAGCAGAGCAGGGAUGCUAAAUGAAGCAAAAGAUUUCAUAGAGUCCAUUAGUAUUGACCAUGGAACAUGUUUGUGGCGUAUAUUAUUGGGAGCAUGUCGCAGUAUACGGGAUUUUGAUGUCGGGGCAUAUGCAGGUGAGCAGCUGAUGGAAUUAGGUACUGGGGACUCCUCUGCAUAUAUAUUGUUGUCAAACAUCUAUGCUGCCCAGAGAAAAUGGACUGAUGUUGAGCGGGUGAGGCAUUUGAUGAGAUCUAGGGGAGUUAGCAAAGAUCCAGGAUGCAGCUGGGUUGAGCUUAACAGCAAAAUUCAUGUGUUUGUUGUUGGGGAGCAGCAACAUCCUGAGGCGGAAAAUAUAAAUACAGAGUUGAGAAGGCUUGCUAAACACAUGAAGGACGAAGGGUACCGUCCAACAUCUAAAUUUUCAUGGGAGGAAGAACUGGAUACAUUGGGAGAAUCUCAUGAAGAAGAUCAAUUCGAGUUGAUAUCGGCAGUUUCUAGCUGA